UACGUAGGGGGCGAGCGUUGUCCGGAUUCACUGGGCGUAAAGGGCGCGUAGGCGGUUCCGUAAGUCAGGCGUGAAAGCUCACGGCUCAACUGUGGACGUGCGUCUGAUACUGCGGUGACUUGAGGUCGGUAGAGGUAAGUGGAACUAGCGGUGUAGCGGUGAAAUGCGCAGAUAUCGCUAGGAACGCCGGUGGCGAAGGCGACUUGCUGGGCCGUACCUGACGCUGAUGCGCGAAAGCUAGGGGAGCGAACCGG
rnacentral:rRNA from 1 species